ensembl:lncRNA novel transcript
AGAAAACAUCUGUGGCUGGGGUGGAUGAAGCCAGGCUGUGAGCUCCCCGAGGACGACGCCCCCUCUGCUUACACCACCUGCAGGCGCUCCAGCCCCGGCACUGGAAGGCCUUGGCCACCGACACAGCAGCCUCAUCUUCUGGCUGGAUUAGACCCAGAAUCUUCUGGUCACCCCACUCCUGCGGGGAACAAAUAGGAAAAGGACAUCAGGGCUCUGAGCGCCCCCUCCACACAUGGGAAGAUGCUUAGGGGUGCCCAUUCUAAUCCAGUCCUCCUGACAGGUCUGCAAGGAAGCUAAACUCACCUCAGAGCCAAGCGGCCCCGGAGAAGCUGCCUCUGUGGCCCGGUCUGCAGGGUGGAGUUACCGUGGGUCCCUCGCAUCAGACAUCUGCCUGCGGACCAGACACCUGCUCUCCUCCAAGGAGCCUCAAUGUCCAGAGAAGGGAUCCUGCGGUGACCGAGGGACAGGCCUGUCUUCUGGGUCACCACAUCUUGGCAUUUAUUAUUUGCCCCCAGGAAGGUCUGAAGGAUUUUACUUUUAAAAACCAUAGUCAGCCGGGCGCGGUGGCUAACGCCUGUAAUCCCAGCACUUAGGGAGGCCGAGGCGGGUGGAUCACCUGAGGUCAGGAGUUCAAGAACAAUCUGACCAACAUGCAGAAACCCUGUCUCUACUAAUACUACAAAAUUAGCCAGGUGUGGUGGUGGGCGCC